AGCGAACGCUGGCGGCAGGCCUAACACAUGCAAGUCGAACGGAUCCUUCGGGAUUAGUGGCGGACGGGUGAGUAACACGUGGGAACGUGCCCUUUGGUUCGGAACAACUCAGGGAAACUUGAGCUAAUACCGGAUGUGCCCUUCGGGGGAAAGAUUUAUCGCCAUUGGAGCGGCCCGCGUCUGAUUAGCUAGUUGGCGAGGUAAAGGCUCACCAAGGCGACGAUCAGUAGCUGGUCUGAGAGGAUGAUCAGCCACAUUGGGACUGAGACACGGCCCACACUCCUACGGGAGGCAGCAGUGGGGAAUCUUGCGCAAUGGGCGAAAGCCUGACGCAGCCAUGCCGCGUGAAUGAUGAAGGUCUUAGGAUUGUAAAAUUCUUUCACCGGGGACGAUAAUGACGGUACCCGGAGAAGAAGCCCCGGCUAACGUCGUGCCAGCAGCCGCGGUAACAC
rnacentral:rRNA from 1 species